rnacentral:tRNA from 1 species
GGACCCAUAGCUCAGCGGUAGAGCAUCUGAUUCCAGCGUUGUUUGGAAACAGCAUCCAGAAGGUCAUCCGUUCAAAUCGGGUUGGGUUCA